UGACGUCAUUAUUAGUGUGCGUAAAAUUCGAACGAAGGCAGGGUGAGGCGAAGAAAUCUGUUUUAGGCGAAGUAGACUGCAAAAAUAUCAACCAAUAUUAGCCAUAUAAAUCGCUGAUAUAGCAUGACGUCGACUGGAAUUAAUCAAGGUUUAGGAGAUGAACAGAAACCCACAUCAAGAGUGUUGAGACCUCCAGGAGGGGGUGCAAGUAAUAUUUUUGGAGGAGAAGCUGACCCACCACCAAAGCGUCAAUCACAGAGAGCACAUGUUUCCCAACAACCAACCCAUGGGCAAAGCAAGAAGUUAUUCGGCGAAAGUGAUCAUGUUGAGAAAAUUCUUCCUCAAACCAGAGGUUUUUAUAACCCUAUAACUGGAGAAGCAUAUGAAAAGACAGCAUGUUCUGCACCACCACCUAAACCUAAACCUGUGGAUAACUACCAACCUCUGCCAUCAGCAGGUGAUGGACCUGGUGUAAUGCAGUCUACAAGUGGUAAAGCUCAAGAUGUAAGAACAUCUUCACGUGUAUUGAAUCCACCUGGUGGACCAACAACUAAACUAUGGUAAACAUUAUACAACUGAUCUCUUCACCAAUGAUUUAUCUGAAUUUUGACAAAUUUCUUGUGACCUUUCAAUGAUACUCUUGAUUAUAAUUUGGUUUACUGUAACAGAAAACGAUAUUGAGAUUAUUUAAAAUCUUUGAUGUGCAAUUAUUUUUGAGCUUGCCUGUCUCCUGUUUUUAACAUUAAUUUCUUGUAUUGGCUAUUAAUGUAUGGAGACUAUACUAAAUUACUCAAUUACUGACAGUAGAAAGAGUCGGGAAUGAAUUGAAUUGGAUUUGAUGUGUCUGGAAUACCAGUGAAAUCUCUAUUAUUGUCAGUUGAAUGUAUUUUCUAAUACUUUAGAAUUAACUUUUCUUUACUGCCAGCAAUGAUCAACCUUUGCAAUGAAUAUCAAAAUGUCAAAAAUGUACCUCAACAUGUCCAUCAGUUAUAAAACAUGAUAUUGCUUUCAAUAUAAAUAAUUUGUUCAUCAUUGAAUAAAAAUACAUGUACAUUGUACUUAAAUACAUUAUCAGCAUUUGAAUUGUUGUGUGUGUACUUUCAGAUGAAUUAUUUGUUUGUUGAUUGUUGUUAAAAAAUAGCAUCAACUAAUCAAUUUUUAUUAGGAAUGUGAAUAUUCUGAUGUAUCUUUUAGCUAGAUAUCUAUUGGUGGAUGUAUUCUUAAUAAAAUGGAGUCGAUGUUCAUGGAAAUCAGAAUGUAUUUUAAAAAAUAUAAAGUAAGGCAUCUACAAGCUAAUUAAAUUAUUACUGAUAAAUGCUGUUGAAGCAGUUUAAUUGAACUAUAUAUUACAAAAAGAUGAACCAAUGUUUUGAUGUUGCCUAUUGAGACUUUUCAUGAACAAUCUUCAUAUUUAUGUAUCUAAUAUUACUCCAUUUAAAAAAAUUAGUACUUUUCUUAUUUUUUUUAUUAUAAUUUACUUUGUUAACUGUUAUAUAUUGGCCUAUAAGCUGAAUGAGCAGUUCUCAUUUUGGUUGAUUAUCUACCAAUGAGAAAUUUAUAAACCACAAUCUAUAUAUUGGAAUUUAAAACAAAGAUUAGCAUUAGGUAGAGAGGACUGUUUGUGCUGUUGUUGGGCACUCCAAUAUACUUGCCGGUCCUAUUACAGAAAGUAAUGGUCCCUGUGGCAUAAUAUUAGUUGAUAUUAGGACCUUAUAAUCUUCUAUAGUAUGUUUCAGUUUAUUAAAUUAUAUUAAUGUAUAUGUAGAUGCAAGAUAUUCCUAGAAUUAAGAUAUAAGUUUCGAGAGAUAUAUAUUUCUGUUUUAAUGUUUUAUAUUAGUUACCAACAAAUCUUUACUUAUAUAUACACACUUAUAGAAAUGACCAGUUAAAUUUACAUCAAUAGAGUUGUGAUUCAGUUUCUAGUACAUUUCUAUUGUUAAAUUUACCAAAAGUGCUAUUUGAAUUUUAAGAGAUGUUUAUGGAAUUGUAAAACUAAUAUGUUUAUUUGCUAACGCUUAUUAAAGAAAGGGAAAUGUAUAUAUUUGGUUUGCUAUUAUGAAUCUCUGUGUGAAAUUUGUAAAAGAUUGUCUUUAAAUGACAUCAGUAAUUUCCAAACCUUGUUAGUGAUGUCUCAUUACGACCCCCAAAAAUAUUUUUUGCUUUAAUUUUUUUCUGAAUUUGCUAAUUCUUUAAAGAAAAAAUAAUCUGAUUAAAAUACAGAUCUAAAUUUUGUUUCGUUUCAUUAUACUUUCGAUGACCUCCAUUCCAUAUUGAUCUGACCCGUUUAUGUGGAAGACUAUUAUAUUUAACUUUUUGUACACCCACAUUGAAAUGUGAUAUACAAUAAUAAAUAGAAUAGGCCAUGAAAAUACUAACUUCUUCAGAGAUGAAGAAUGAAAUACAAAAUGGCUGGAAGUCAGUUAUGACAUCAUAGGAAUGAACUUAGAUACAUAACAUGAAAGGUUAGCUUAAGUUAAAUCAUCAUGUAUACGAAUGAUCAAAUGAAAUGUUAAAGGAAAGUUAUGGAUUUACCUCAUUUCAAUAAUUAGGCCAAACUGAAUUCAGUCUAUGAAUCAAAAUACUUCCUGCUGUUUUCAACUUUUUGUGAUCUUUAUAAGGAGUUUUUUGUACUAUUGUUGGUUUGUGUCACCUGUUUCUAUUUAUUGGAAGUCUCUCACAUUGAAAUAUGGUCGUAAAUUGUUGUCACCCCACCCCGUCUGGCGGUCUGGAGUCCACAAGCAAUUGUGGACACUGUACAGGCUAAAGUUAAUAUCCAUUGACUUAAAACUUAUAUACAUUGUUUAUGGUGAUGAGACAACGAAGCUUAUUGAUUUUCAGCGAUUUCAGAUAACUACGGCCCUGGCCCAUGAUUGCACGAAAAAAUGGCAUUUUCGCUUAUGGACCCUUUUGAGGUGACGGUUUUAUCUUUUUUUAAAACCUGUUCAAAUAUAUAGUUCAAUAUAUAUAUAUAUAUAUAUAUAUCACCGUUAAACCAUAAUUAUGGUCGAGUUCGAAUUUUGUGAAAAUUUGACUGAAAAUAGUUUUUUUUAGCUGAUCUUCAAUGGAAACCGUUUGUUAGUAUCUUGUUAAUGCUUUCAUUACUGACAAAAGAAAUAAUAUGCAACGCCCUUGUGGACUGCAUGGACAACUUACCUGUUGUGGGCGUAUGUUUUGUUGUCUGGCAACCUAUUUUUUCUCAAUUUCUCAAUAUUUGACCCACAUAAUUGUGUGCCAGCUUGCAUGUUGCUUGACUAAACAAACCAUUUCAUUUAUAAACUCAUCUGAAGACAAAACAAAAUUGGAACUACAAAAAAUAAAAUAAAAAAUGAUCUGUGUUUUAAUUAGUUUGAAGAAAAAAGUUUAUUACUGUCAUUCUGUACUGUGUCUUUGUGUUAAAAGAAUUAAAGUCGUUAUAAUAUU